rnacentral:ncRNA from 1 species
GUCCUCGGCUGGCGCCUAGCAGCUGACUUAGAACUGGGGCGGACCAGGGGAAUCCGACUGUUUAAUUAAAACAAAGCAUCGCGACGGCCCGCGCAGGGUGUUGACGCGAUGUGAUUUCUGCCCAGUGCUCUGAAUGUCAAAGUGAAGAAAUUCAAUGAAGCGCGGGUAAACGGCGGGAGUAACUAUGACUCUCUACGCCGGAGAUAUGCUGUGUAGCAUGAUUUGAUGAACACACGCACCUAUGAAACAUAAAGGAAUUGUCGAUUUCUAAUUAAACAGGACGGGAAUAUAUAUGACUUUCCAUGCAACGAAACAUAAAGGAAUUGCUGGUUUAUUACAUCACCCAUAUAUGGCAUUUAUCUGUGCAUUGUGACAUGAAUGAUGAACAUACAGCCUUGCUUUACUGUCCUGCUUUAUAAUUACUCUGCAUGCUAUUGUGCCACAAUCCGUGCGGUCAUGCAUUAUAGCUCUGUUAUGUCUUCCACAGACUCCUAACUAACGGGCCUCCGUAGUGACGUCAUAAUGCCUCGACUUCCGGUUUUAAAAUCUUCCUGGAGCACACCUGUCAGAGAAAAACGGACAAGCACUCGGCUUUCAGAAGGAAGAAACCGAAGUCUCACCAGCCUUUUCCUGAGGAGGAUAAGGCUCUGGCAAUGGUUUUCAUUGACCUUGCCAGGGCAUUCGAUUCAGUUUCCCACGAUCACAUCAGAGAUGUGCUGAAAGCAAGGGGAAUAGAUGAGGACUUCCUCAACCUCAUCUUAGACUCCUACAGGAAAUCCCACUCGAAAAUCAAAACUGGUGAAGGCCUCUCCAGGAAACUCUUCCUGAAAGUGGGAGUUAAACAGGGAGACCCCCUCUCCCCGCUUCUUUUCAACCUGGCGAUUGACCCUCUUCUCUCCUUCCUGGAGGAGAAGGGAUCCGGAGUUCAGGUGGGAAAUCAGAAAGUGUCAGCUCUGGCAUACGCAGAUGACCUGGUUGUGGUGAGCGGUUCUUGGAGAGGCAUGGAGGAAAACCUGAGGAUCCUGAAUCGAUUCCUGGAGAAUACUGGUUUGCAGGUGAAAAUCCAUAAAUGUAGUGGAUUCUACUUGAGAAGCAGGAAAGGAAACAUGACCAUCAAUGCCUGUGAUCCAUGGCUCAUCGGAGGACUCCCUGUCCCCAUGCUCGAUCCACAACAUUCCACCAAAUAUCUUGGUUUGAACAUCAACCCAAUCCAUGGGAUUGAACCUGCAGACACCACAAGCUCUCUCUCGGGAAUCAUUCAAAGGAUUGACUCUGCUCCCCUCAAACCUACCCAACGUCUUCUGCUACUAACUGGUUUUGGGAUCCCCAGAAUCAUGUACCAAACUGAACUAAGCUGGGUGAAAAUACUAGACCUCCAAAAUGCGGACCAGAAAAUCAGAAAUGCGGUGAAGAAAUGGCUUCAUCUCAAGCCAUCCACCACAAACGGCAUCCUAUAUGCCCGAAGGAAGGACGGUGGACUUGGCUUGAAAAAACUUGAAGUCCAAAUCCCGCUUGCCCAACUCGUGCGAUGGGCUAAGUUGCUACAAGCUGAGGAUCCACGAUGCCGGAUCUUAGCUUCAGCAUUCUUUCCCAAGAAAGAAUGAGAAAAAUCCUCACACAGGAAGACUAUACAAAACUCGGAACAGACUGGAGGACAGUGGAGCAGCAAAAAUGGGUCGCCCAGAAAUCCCAAGGCCGUGGGAUAAACUCCUUCAGGAACGACCCAGCGAGCAACAACUGGCUCUCCCAUCCUGGAAAACUCAAACAAUCAGAGUUCAUCCUGGCUCUGCAAAUGAGAACUAACAACUUCAACAAUCUGACAACUCUGAAUAGAGGUCAAAAAGGGGACAACUGCUGCAGACUCUGUCAUAAAGGCUGGGAGGGCCUCCCCCACAUAAUAAGCUCCUGCGAGGUGCUACGGAAACUUAGGAUGCAAAACCACAACCGCAUUUGCAACAUCCUCGCAAUCGAAGCUGCAACCCGAGGAUGGCGGGUAAGACGAGAGAAAAGGUUCUCUGAUGAGACCCUUGGAACAGCAGUUCCUGACCUUGUAUUGACCAAGAAAAAGAUUGGCCUGGUGAUCGACGUUACCAUCUGCUACGAACAGCGAAUGGGAACUCUCACAAAGAGAGCCCGCAGAAAGGUUGAAAAGUAUGGCAUAUUUGCCACAACUAUUCUCGAAACCCUUGGACUGACUCAAAUCCAUGUAUAUGGAUUCCCCAUGGGAGCAAGGGGAAAAUGGUUCAAAGACAACACAGAGGUCCUGGAAACGCUGGGUGUACCAAAAACCAGACGCAGACAACUUGCAAAGCUGAUGGCAACAAGAACUCUGCAAGGAACCGCCAGACUCCUGAAGUCUUUCAAGAAAAACGUCCGUGGCUAAAAUUGUUCUUGGUUCUGUAAUGUUCUAUUAUCUUCAUUAAAGUAUAUUAAACUACUUUGGUUGUCAUUAUUUGUGCGAUCCUCCUGCCCAUCCCCCCCUGGCUAAUGAGUAUGACUG